AGAGUUUGAUCAUGGCUCAGGACGAACGCUGGCGGCGGGCCUAACACAUGCAAGUCGAACGCACUCGACCUUCGGGUCACAUGAGUGAGUGGCGAACGGGUGAGUAACACGUGAGGAACCUGCCCCGAAGACUGGAAUAACCCGAGGAAACUCGGGCUAAUACCGGAUAUCCCCACCAGGUCGCAUGGCCAGGUGAGGAAAUGCUCCGGCGCUUCGGGAGGGUCUCGCGGCCUAUCAGCUAGUUGGUGAGGUAACGGCUCACCAAGGCAUCGACGGGUAGCUGGUCUGAGAGGACGAUCAGCCACACUGGGACUGAGACACGGCCCAGACUCCUACGGGAGGCAGCAGUGGGGAAUCUUGCGCAAUGGGCGAAAGCCUGACGCAGCCACGCCGCGUGAGGGAUGAAGGCUUUCGGGUUGUAAACCUCUUUCAGCAGGGACGAAAAUGACGGUACCUGCAGAAGAAGCUCCGGCCAACUACGUGCCAGCAGCCGCGGUAACACGUAGGGAGCAAGCGUUGUCCGGAUUUAUUGGGCGUAAAGAGCUCGUAGGCGGUUCAGUCAGUCGGGUGUGAAAACUUGAGGCUCAACCUCAAGAGGCCACUCGAUACUGCUGUGACUAGAGUCCGGUAGAGGAGUGUGGAAUUCCUGGUGUAGCG
rnacentral:rRNA from 1 species